rnacentral:rRNA from 1 species
AGCUCCAAUAGCGUAUAUUAAAGUUGUUGCAGUUAAAAAGCUCGUAGUUGGAUUUCGGGGCGGCCCGGCCGGUCCGCCGCAAGGCGAGCACUGGUCGGGCGCCCUUCCUCUCGAAGGCUUCGACUGCUCUUGAUUGUGGUGGUCGAGGAGUUCGGGACGUUUACUUUGAAAAAAUUAGAGUGUUCAAGGCAGGCCGUGGCCUGAAUACAUUAGCAUGGAAUAAUGGAAGAGGACCUCGGUCCUAUUUUGUUGGUUUCCAGGGCCGAAGUAAUGAUUGAGAGGGACAGUUGGGGGCAUUCGUAUUUAAUUGUCAGAGGUGAAAUUCUCGGAUUUAUGAAAGACGAACAAGUGCGAAAGCAUUUGCCAAGGAUGUUUUCA